rnacentral:rRNA from 1 species
AUUGAACGCUGGCGGCGUGCUUAACACAUGCAAGUCGUGCGGUAACAGGCGUAGCAAUACGUGCUGACGAGCGGCGAACGGGUGCGUAAUACAUGGGAAUCUGCCUUUUAGUGGGGAAUAACCCGGCGAAAGCCGGGCUAAUGCCGCAUAAGAUCUUCGGAUGAAAGCGGGGGAGUCGUAAGACCUCGCGCUGAUAGAUGAGCCCAUGCCGGAUUAGCAGUUGGUGAGGUAACGGCUCACCAAGGCGACGAUCCGUAGCUGGUCUGAGAGGACGGCCAGCCACACUGGGACUGAGACACGGCCCAGACUCCUACGGGAGGCAGCAGUGGGGAAUAUUGGACAAUGGGGGAAACCCUGAUCCAGCGACGCCGCGUGUGUGAAGAAGG